rnacentral:misc_RNA from 1 species
UUGUUGCGAUUUCGCUAUGACGCCGACGCGCAGAGGCAGGGUGAGGGGGCCUCCGGGGGCGCCGCCGCCCGGUGCGGGCAGGGUCGCCCCCGAAGCAACAGGUGCGGUGCACAGGGGGUGGGAGGUCGGGCGCGGGGGCCCUCACUCGGUAAUGAUCCCUCCGCAGGUUCACCUACGGAGA